rnacentral:lncRNA from 1 species
GCACCUUUGGUAGGCGUGGGAGGUUGGAUGGAGGAAGAAAGAGUCUCCUUCAUUUUAGGAGAUCUAUUGCAUUUAGUCCCCAUGGAUGGAUGGCUUGAUUUUCAGUGAGGACUUCCAUAACUCAGUUGUCCUCUCUAGCUGGGGAACUGGGAGGAGGUGGGCAUUUCAGAGAACACAGUAGCUGGAGUACCAGACAACAGCAUGGAACAAGCAGAAGCCCUGGCAGCUCCAUCCAGAACUUGCCGUGUUCCUGCUGCCCAUCUCGGGGUUUGCCAGGAGAAGUCUGCUGGUCCAGGGACCACCGACCUGCGUUCCCAUCGCUCAUCGAACCCGAUGAACUUUCCCAGUCUCAAGGAAUUCUGACAAAGACUUUUUCUCCAAGACUCCAAACUUCCAAGUCCUAUUUUGAAUCUCCAAGCCUACUUGCCCAGAACAGAAGACCCUGGAUCUGACACUACUUCAGUACUGAUGGCUCCUGCUCCACUCCCUGGCAGCAGCAGAGUAAUGUCAGAUCUGCUCUGCACAACUAAGACUCCAACAUGGGUGACAGCUGGGAUCUAGACACAGGGCGGCCCCUUGUUUUGUUGGUUAGAAUCCUGGGCGUGGACAUGGCACCGCUCAUCAAGCCAUGCUGAGGCAGCAUCCCACAUGCCACAACUAGAAGGACCCACAACAAAGAAUAUACAACUAUGUACUGGGGGGCUUUGGGGAGAAAAAAGGAAAAAAUAAAAUCUUUAAAAAAA